rnacentral:rRNA from 1 species
CGGAACGGGUGAGUAACGCGUGAGGGACCUGCCUCAAAGAGGGGGACAACAGUUGGAAACGACUGCUAAUACCGCAUAAGCCCACGGGUCGGCAUCGACCAGAGGAAAAAGGAGCAAUCCGCUUUGAGAUGGCCUCGCGUCCGAUUAGCUAGUUGGUGAGGUAAUGGCCCACCAAGGCAACGAUCGGUAGCCGGACUGAGAGGUUGAACGGCCACAUUGGGACUGAGACACGGCCCAG